rfam:Triticum urartu cultivar G1812 contig763101, whole genome shotgun sequence.
UAAAUACUCCCUCUGUCCGAAAAAGCUUGUCCCUCGAAUGAAUUUAUCUAGCACUAACUUGAUGCUAGAUACAUCCAUUUAAGAGACAUCCAUUUGAGGGACAAGCUUUUUCGGACAGAGGGAGUAGUAA